rnacentral:rRNA from 1 species
UGCAGUCGAACGAACUUCCGUUAAUUGAUUAUGACGUACUUGUACUGAUUGAGAUUUUAACACGAAGUGAGUGGCGAACGGGUGAGUAACACGUGGGUAACCUGCCCAGAAGUAGGGGAUAACACCUGGAAACAGAUGCUAAUACCGUAUAACAGAGAAAACCGCAUGGUUUUCUUUUAAAAGAUGGCUCUGCUAUCACUUCUGGAUGGACCCGCGGCGUAUUAGCUAGUUGGUGAGGUAAAGGCUCACCAAGGCAGUGAUACGUAGCCGACCUGAGAGGGUAAUCGGCCACAUUGGGACUGAGACACGGCCCAGACUCCUACGGGAGGCAGCAGUAGGGAAUCUUCCACAAUGGACGCAAGUCUGAUGGAGCAACGCCGCGUGAGUGAAGAAGGGUUUCGGCUCGUAAAGCUCUGUUGUUAAAGAAGAACGUGGGUAAGAGUAACUGUUUACCCAGUGACGGUAUUUAACCAGAAAGCCACGGCUAACUACGUG